GUCAUCUCCUUGCGACUCGGAGGAGCCACGAAUGCUCUUCACUGAAUCUGAUUGUAAUGGCGACAAGUCUGUGAUGCUGCAAUUCGCGCUCGCUUCCAUUAGGUAAUUUAAGGCGCACACCACCUGUUUGUUGAACAAAACAGCAUUUUUCUGCAAUUCUAACCAUCCAAAACAGUUGAUGCACAUCAUGUGAGUCCAAGAUCCUAUGAUCGAUCAAGUCCGGGUAGUUCCUUUCUUUCAGUAAUGGCCUUGCCUGCAACAAGUUUUAGAAUUUUAUGUAAGAAGCUGCCUGUUGAAUAGAAUGAGAGUCAGAAAAUUGUUUGCCUUGAGUUUGAGGGCGUUACCCAUCCAACAAGACUUUUUCCACCAAGUCUUUUGUCUGUAGUCUUCAAUCCAGUGAUCAGUUGUAGUAGCACCACCCCAAAGGAAUAAACAUCUGUCUUCUUUGACACUUUUCCACAUUCUGCAUAUUCUGGUGCCAGUGUUUCCACCAAUCUUGUCUCUGAGGAGUGAUCUGAGUCUUCUUGUUGAGUUCUUGCCAGGCCAAAAUCUCCAAGCUAAUAGGGCAAACUUGUUAGCUGAAACUUGACAAGAUAUAGUAAACCUUUGGCAGCACCCAUAGCUAUCUUCAUCCUCUUUUCCCAACUGAGAGGUCUACGAGCGUGCUCUGAAGCAAUUUGUUGCAUAAAUUCCUAUUGGACCUUGGUUAAUAUGAUUAGGAAC